rnacentral:rRNA from 1 species
GGUGGCGUGCCGGUGCGCGUUGAAGGCCNNNACGUGAGUCAGGCUGGAGCCGCCGGUAGUGCAGAUCUNGGUGGUAGUAGCAAGUACUCUGGUGAACCAACCUGGAGCUGUGAGGUCUGGAUUAGGGUUCCAUGUCAACAGUGAUUGAACAUGGGUGAGUCGAUCCUAAGCCAACUGUGAAAGCAGUGACAUCCCGACAAAGGGGCUGUACGUGUGCUGCACUUACACCCCCAUACCAAAGCUCUCGAGUAUCUCUCUCUCUGGUGCGGAAAAUUCGCGCGCGCACACAUGCGAUCACUUCGAGUGUGAAUGUGUGCGUGUGUGAGGCAUUGUAAACGCGCGCGCGCACACAUGCGAUCACUUCGAGUGUGAAUGUGUGCGCGUGUGAGGCGCGGAAAACGCAAGCGCGCGCACACAUGCGAUCACUUCGAGUGUGAAUGUGUGCGUGUGUGAGGCAAGGAAAACGCGCGCGCACACAUGCGAUCACUUCGAGUGUGAAUGUGUGCGUGUGUGUGAGGCUUGAUUUUUUUUCUGGUUACGCGCAUAAGCGUUGAGGACUCAGAGAGAGAAAAAGAGAGUGGGUGAGCGUGAGUUUGCGAUUGCAUGAGCUUCCUGCGUCUGGUUUUCUAUGUCUGGCGAAAGGGAAUGGGGACUUUGUUCCUUGACCGGUCCCGGCACCCUCGACUGGCUCUGCCAGUUAAUGGUCCAUGCAAAUGGAACCAGGCCACAGCCGUCGGCAGUCGCCCGAGGAAGAGUUUUCUUUUCUGCUUAACGCACGAGGUCAUCCCUGGAAACAGUUCGGCUGGCGAAAGGGUGCCCCGUUGCGGCAGAGCGCCACGACUGUCGUGCGCGUCUCGGUGUUCCUGCCGGUCCGUGAAGACGUGGUCGAGGGGAAUGCUAUCUUGUAUCAACGAAACGCCCGACAAGUUCGGGACGGACCGUACCCUAUAUCCGCAUCUGGUCUCCAAGGUUCGUAGCCUCUGCAGAGUCAGACACAUGUAGGUAAGGGAAGUCGGCAAACUCGAUCCGUAACUUCGGGAAAAGGAUUGGCUCUGAGGGCCGAGCUGGGCCGGGCCUUGCCUGCAAAGCAGUACCUAUAGUGACCGGAGUUUCAGGAGUGCGAGGGGCUCUAGUAGCUGCUUGUGCGUGUGUGUGUGUGUUCACGCUCGCGUGUUCGCGCGCGUGCGCGUGUGGGCACGAACGAGUCCACCGCUCCGCUCCAACCACGAACGGCUGUGACGGCAAGGGCUCUGGGCGGGAGCG